CUUGCACCUGAUUGAUUUUGGUCGCCAACGAGUGGCGGACGGGUGAGUAACACGUAGGUAACCUGCCCAGAAGCGGGGGACAACAUUUGGAAACAGAUGCUAAUACCGCAUAACAACGUUGUUCGCAUGAACAACGCUUAAAAGAUGGCUUCUCGCUAUCACUUCUGGAUGGACCUGCGGUGCAUUAGCUUGUUGGUGGGGUAAUGGCCUACCAAGGCGAUGAUGCAUAGCCGAGUUGAGAGACUGAUCGGCCACAAUGGGACUGAGACACGGCCCAUACUCCUACGGGAGGCAGCAGUAGGGAAUCUUCCACAAUGGGCGCAAGCCUGAUGGAGCAACACCGCGUGAGUGAAGAAGGGUUUCGGCUCGUAAAGCUCUGUUGUUAAAGAAGAACACGUAUGAGAGUAACUGUUCAUACGUUGACGGUAUUUAACCAGAAAGUCACGGCUAACUACGUGCCAGCAGCCGCGGUAAUACGU
rnacentral:rRNA from 1 species